UUGACCCGGUUCUGAGGUCUUCUUUGGGCUCCUGCAGGUUUUGGAUCUUCAUGACAACAAGCUCACGUCCCUCCCAGAGGAUCUGGGGAAGCUGACCGGCCUGCAGAUCCUGAACCUGGAGAAGAACCGUCUGAAGGUUCUGCCAGAGUCCAUCGGGAGCCUGCAGCUCCUGCAGACCCUCAACCUGAAAGGUAACUGUCUGACUGAGCUGCCGGCUUCAGUCGGCUCUCUGAGCAGCCUGAGGACUMUGGACCUGAGUGACAACAAGAUCCUGCAGCUCCCCAAAGAGCUGGCCCACAUCCGGACCUUAGAGGUCAGGAGUCUGCAGCAGAACUGUUG